rnacentral:rRNA from 1 species
GACGAACGCUGGCGGCGUGCUUAACACAUGCAAGUCGAACGGUGAAGGGACCGGUUUUUGCUGGUUCUGGAUGAGUGGCGAACGGGUGAGUAACACGUGAGUAACCUGCCCCCUUCUUCUGGAUAACCGCAUGAAAGUGUGGCUAAUACGGGAUAUUCUGCGCCUGCUGCAUGGUGGGUGUGGGAAAGAUAUUGUUUCGGUGGGGGAUGGGCUCGCGGCCUAUCAGCUUGUUGGUGGGGUGAUGGCCUACCAAGGCGGUGACGGGUAGCCGGCCUGAGAGGGUGGACGGUCACACUGGGACUGAGACACGGCCCAGACUCCGACGGGAGGCAGCAGGGGGGAAUAUUGCACAAUGGGCGCAAGCCUGAUGCAGCGACGCCGCGGGAGGGAUGGAGGCCUGCGGGUUGUAAACCUCUUUCGCCAGUGAAGCAGGCCUGUCCCUUUUGUGGGUGGGUUGACGGUAGCUGGAUAAGAAGCGCCGGCUAACUACGUG